rnacentral:tRNA from 2 species
GCGCCCGUGGCCCAAUUGGAUAAGGCAUCUGACUACGGAUCAGAAGAUUAGGGGUUCGACUCCUCUCGGGCGUGCCA